CACAUGGAGCACAUUCUCACAGCUGGAUGGUGCCCAGGCUCUCCCUCAUGGCUGUUGAGCAUGGGAUUAGUGUCCUGAGAAUAAGAAGGGCUCUAAUCAAAGCUGCCUACUCCAGUUGGCCUCUGCCUGGCCAGCAGCUCCCUGCUACUGCUGCCCCCUGCAAAUUGUGCCUUGGCAGCCUCUUCUUCUGGUGGGAUCUGCUGCCACCCUCUGCCUGGAGGAGUCUGCAACCAGCUCCUGCGCUAAAGAUCUGAAGAUGGCUUGUUUCAAGUGACCCAUUUUUUUCCGAGGGGCUCUGCACUGGCUUCUGGAUCGUCCUUGAGAAAUCUGUUCUGAUUUAGUGGGAGUUACACAAACAGGCAAGUGUUUUCAUUCUUUAA